rnacentral:lncRNA from 1 species
CGUGGCUCUGUUGCUAUGGUAGUAAGAACAUGCUUUCGUUCUUCCAUAGGUGUUUGCAUGGGGACAUAUGUGGCUGUUUCCAUGGCAACAAGGUGCCUUAUCUCUUAGUGGAGCAGGAGUACAUAAGAAAAAAAGGCUUGAAUGAGUCCGAAGAGGGGGAAAUUGAAAGUGAAACUGGGCACUUCCAAAGCUAUGAUGCUGUGAGGCAAAGAAAAAAAUUCAACCUUCAAGUGUCCUGUGUUCAAGGAAUAAAAACCUCAGGAGUCCUGGCCUUCAACAAAUUUGAAGCCCAGUUCCUUAUCUUACAGAAGCAGAAAAUAAAACCCAUGGGGUCUCUUCCAGCUCUAAUGAUCCUGUGACUUGAGUUCUCUAGAAAUAAGGAGCCAUUUUGUAUUUGUAAAGGAUUUCAUGGAAAGGCACAGAGAACUACCUAGAAUGAGAAGGCCGGAAGGAAUUGAGGGAGCAUCACCCCUCCCUCCAUGAUCAAAAAUCACAAAUCCGUCAAAGCAACAUACCUGGCUGUAUUUCUAUUCUAAGCCUGUAUCACAUCUCAGGGUAAAUAUAUUACCUGCUGUGUGAAGAAGGGCCUCCUGUUAUUUGUCCUACAUUUAAUUAUCUCAAUGUAUGUUAUUUUCAGCUU